UACGGAGAGUGCAAGCGUUGUUCGGAAUUACUGGGCUUAAAGGGCGUGUAGGCGGAGUGGAGGGUGUCCUGUGAAAGCCCCGGGCUUAACCCGGGAUGUGCAGGGCAAACCGCCAUUCUUGAGGCAGGUAGAGGUGACUGGAACAACUGGUGGAGCGGUGAAAUGCGUAGAUAUCAGUUGGAACGCCGGCGGCGAAAGCGAGUCACUGGGCCUGUCCUGACGCUGAGACGCGAAAGCGUGGGGAGCGAACAGGAUUAGAUACCCUGGUAGUCCACGCCGUAAACGAUGCGCACUGGGUAUGAUAGGUUUUGACGCCGAUCGUGCCGAAGCAAAAGUGCUAAGUGCGCCGCCUGGGGAGUACGGCCGCAAGGCUAAAACUCAAAGGAAUUGACGGGGGCUCACACAAGCGGUGGAGUAUGUGGAUUAAUUCGAAGCAACGCGAAGAACCCUACCUGGGUUUGACAUGCACGGAUGCUCUCUUGGAAACAGGAGUAGGCUGCCUUCGGGUGAAACGUGCACAGGUGCUGCAUGGCUGUCGUCAGCUCGUGCUGUGAAGUGUCGGGUUAAGUCCCUUAACGAGCGAAACCCCUAUCGCUAGUUGCCAGCGGGUCAUGCCGGGAACUCUAGCGAGACCGCCGGUGUCAAACCGGAGGAAGGUGGGGACGACGUCAAGUCAUCAUGGCCCUUAUGCCCAGGGUUUCACACGUGCUACAAUGGUCGGUACAGAGCGACGCGAUACCGAGAGGUGGAGCAAAUCGCACAAAGCCGGCCCCAGUUCGGAUUGGAGUCUGCAACUCGACUCCAUGAAGUUGGAAUCGCUAGUAAUCGCGGAUCAGCAAUGCCGCGGUGAAUAUGUUCCUGAGCCU
rnacentral:rRNA from 1 species